rnacentral:tRNA from 1 species
UGGCUCAGACGGUAAAGCGUCUGCCUACAAUGUGGGAGACCCAGGUUCGAUUCCUGG